rnacentral:rRNA from 1 species
GACGAACGCUGGCGGCGUGCCUAAUACAUGCAAGUAGGACGCAGUUGCGAACGGGUGAGUAACGCGUAGGUAACUGACUAAUAGAGGGGGAUAACUAUUGGAAACGAUAGCUAAUACCGCAUACUCGUAGAUGGACCUGCGUUGUAUUAGCGAGUAGGUAGGGUAAUGGCCUACCUAGGCCACGAUACAUAGCCUACCUGAGGAGGUGAUCGGCCACACGGGGACUGAGACACGGCCCAGACUCCUACGGGAGGCAGCAGUAGGGAAUCGUCGGCAAUGGGGGGAACCCUUACCGAGCAACGCCGCGUGAGUGAAGAAGGUUUUCGGAUCGUAAAGCUCGGUUGUUAAGGAAGCGGUACUUAACCAGAAAGGGACGGCUAACUACGGGCCAGCCGCCGCGGUAAUAC